rnacentral:lncRNA from 1 species
UAUUGCUGGAGGCUUUAUACUAAUCACGUGCUAAAUACUGAGUUACUACACUAGGUUAGAGUGGAGCUUUUUGGAAAACUCUGUUACCGUUGUAAUGAUAAAAGAGCAUUUCCUUCCUAUAUAGGCAGCACCUCUUACAGUAAAGUGUGAAGGUGUGUGAGUGAGCUUGACUGUGUGUGCACGGCAGUGUACCGAGCAUGGGGAAAUGUAUGGGUAAAAAAUAUAGUAAGUUGUUUUGUAUAAAGCUAUUUUUCAUUAUGGGGACUAGAAGUGAACAGAGAUAUACUAAAGUGUGAUUAUACACAACUGUAAAACUGAAACUAAAAUAUUUUUCUUUUAUUUUGGUGUUAUUUAGCUUUGUUACAGAUUUCUAUUUUUGUCAACAAAUAUCAUGGUUCCUUUCGAGAUCUUUUUGCCAAAACAUUUUGAUACUAUUGUGAUGUACAUUUGAAAGUAGUAUGCUGGACAGUAAACCUCUGCACAAGAAACAGAACCAGACUGGUCUGAGCGUGUAUGAGGCAACUCAACCUAUUGCACUGCCAUUCAGAUUAUAUUUAAGAAUUUGCCAGCCAAGAAAAAAAUAAUAAUAAUAAAUAGUUUCACACAUAGAGGUAGUUGCUGAUUACUUUUUUCUUUUUCCUUAGCUAAAUCCACCCUUUUCCUUCCGUUUUCUUUUACUGAGACCUGGUAGCCCAUUAAUGUAUUGCAUUGUGGAUUUUAAAAUGUACACUUCAGUACUGUUCUGUAUACUGGCAAACUUUUGUACAUAUCUAUAAAUAUCUAUAAAUAAAUAAAUACUGUAUGUGGCUGGGCACAUAGAGUAGUUUUACCACACCAAAGUUAAUUUUUAUGCAUGCUUAAAAAUAUAUAUGGGGAAGGGUUGAAAAAGCUGGAUAUCAAUCAAAUAGGAAAAAAAACAAAGCAAGAAGCUUGCACAGCUCCUGGUUUUGUAAAUAAAUUUAUUUGUAUAACACCAUAAUGUAAUAUACAGAACUAUGAUAAGCAAAGAUCUUUACAAAAAUAAAGGGCUGCAUGCUUAUAUAUU